ACCCAACUGACGAGUCCCAACUAGGACGAAACGCUCAUCCUGGAU
rfam:Schistosoma haematobium scaffold1427_2, whole genome shotgun sequence.